rnacentral:rRNA from 1 species
UAGGGAAUAUUGGGCAAUGGAGGCAACUCUGACCCAGCCAUGCCGCGUGCAGGAAGAAGGCGCUCAGCGUUGUAAACUGCUUUUGUCGGGGAAGAAACGACCCCUGCGGGGGGCAUUGACGGUACCCGAUGAAUAAGCACCGGCUAACUCCGUGCCAGCAGCCGCGGUAAUACGGAGGGUGCAAGCGUUGUCCGGAUUUAUUGGGUUUAAAGGGUGCGCAGGCGGGAAGGUCAGUCCGCGGUGAAAGACGAUCGCUUAACGAUUGCAGUGCCGUGGAUACUGCCUUUCUUGAAUCUGGUUGAGGCCGGUGGAAUUGACCGUGUAGCGGUGAAAUGCAUAGAUAUGGUCAAGAACUCCAAUUGCGAAGGCAGCCGGCUGGGCCAGCAUUGACGCUCAGGCACGAGAGUGCGGGGGAUCAAAACAGGAUUAGAUACCCUGGUAGUCCGCACCGUAAACGAUGAUGACUAGUGUUGGCCCCGUUGCGGGGUCAGUGCCACAGUGAAAACGUUAAGUCAUCCACCUGGGGAGUACGCC